AGCAGAGAUGCUUUAGUGCCUUCGGGAACCGUGAGACAGGUGCUGCAUGGCUGUCGUCAGCUCGUGUUGUGAAAUGUUGGGUUAAGUCCCGCAACGAGCGCAACCCUUAUCCUUUGUUGCCAGCGGGUUAUGCCGGGAACUCAAAGGAGACUGCCAGUGAUAAACUGGAGGAAGGUGGGGAUGACGUCAAGUCAUCAUGGCCCUUACGAGUAGGGCUACACACGUGCUACAAUGGCGCAUACAAAGAGAAGCGACCUCGCGAGAGCAAGCGGACCUCAUAAAGUGCGUCGUAGUCCGGAUUGGAGUCUGCAACUCGACUCCAUGAAGUCGGAAUCGCUAGUAAUCGUAGAUCAGAAUGCUACGGUGAAUACGUUCCCGGGCCUUGUACACACCGCCCGUCACACCAUGGGAGUGGGUUGCAAAAGAAGUAGGUAGCUUAACCUUCGGGAGGGCGCUUACCACUUUGUGAUUCAUGACUGGGGUGAAGUCGUAACAAGGUAGGCGUAGUGCU
rnacentral:rRNA from 1 species